GUAUGUGAAUUGAAGCAAACGAGCACCCAAUGAAUUAAAAAACAACAAAGAAUUAAUUAAGCCAUGAGUACUCCUUCUCUCGUGUUGCUUCCGUUCCUCUUCAUCGUCCUGUUAUGGCCAGCGGCGGCAACAUCAACGUUUUUACCACUGACAAGGCCCAAUUGCACUCGUCAAUGUGGUAGUAUCCAAGUUCCCUACCCCUUUGGCUUCGGAGCUGAUGGUGAAGAGUGUUUUUACACAGAAGAGUUUAAGCUAUUCUGCAACAACAGCUACAACCCUCCAAAACUGAUGAUGGGAAAUGACGUGGAAAUUAUCAAUCUUUCAUUUGACGGCCAAGUGACUGCG